AAUCUUCUGCAAUGGAUGAGAGUCUGAGGGAGCAACGCCGCUAGAGUGUUGAAGGUGUNCGGAUCNUNAAACUCUGUUGUUAGGGNAAAACAAGUAUCGGAGGCACUGCCGGUACCUUGACGGUACCUGACGAGAAAGCAACGGCUAACAACGUGCCAUCAGCCGCGGUAAUACGUAGGUGGCAAGCGUUGUCCGGAUUUAUUGGGCGUAAAGCGCGCGCAGGCGGUCUUUUAAGUCUGCAUUAAAAUCAUACAGCUUAACUGUAAGCGGUCAUUGGAAACUGGGGUUCUUGAGUGCAAAAGAGGAGAGAGGAUUUCCAUGUGUAGCGGAGAAAUGCGUAGAUAUAUGGAGGAACACCAGUGGCGAAGGCGACUCUCAAAUCUAUAACUGACGCUGAGGCGCGAAAGCGUGGGGAUCAAACA
rnacentral:rRNA from 1 species